rnacentral:lncRNA from 10 species
CUCUUGGAAAAGCUUCUGCCUGGAAACCCAGGUUUUUCUGUACAUGCUCUGGAGUCUAGACGAAGGCUCCCAAGGCUCUCCUCUUUUGCUCUGUGCACCUGCUGGCUUAACACUAUGUAGAAGCCACCAAGGCUUGCAUCUUGUACCCCUGAAGCAGUGACCCAAGCUGUGCCUGUGCAUCUUUCAGCCAUGGCUGGAGCUGGAGCUGCAGGGAUGCAGGCAGCAGUGUGCUGUGGCUGAGCACAGCAGUGGAGCCUUGCAGCUGGCCCAGGAGAACAUUCUUCUCUCUCAGGCCUUAGGGCCUGUGACAGCAAGGGCUGCUGCAAAGGUCUCUGAAAUGCCUUCAAGGCCUUUUUCCCAUUGUCUUGGCUAUUAGCACUGGACUCCAUUUUAUACAAAUUUCUAAAGCUCUCUUAGAUUUUCCCACUGAAAAUCAGGUUUUCUUUUUGACCACUUGGCCAGGCUGCAAAUUUUCCAAACUUUUAAGUUCUGCUUCUCGUUUAAAUAUAAGUUUCUACUUGAGGUCAUUUAUUUGGUCACACCGAAGACCACAGGCUUUUGGACACAGACAGGAUACCUCUUGAGCUUUGCUGCCAAAAGUUCAUGCCUAUGAUUUAGAUACACCCUAAAUCAUCACCCUCAAGUUCAAAGUUUCAUAGGUCUCCAGGUUAGGGGCAUCAUGCAGCGACGUUCUUUGCUAAGGCAAAACCAAAGUAACCUUGGCUCCUCUUUUCAGUAAAUUCCUCAUUUUCAUCUGAGACCUUGUAAGCCUGGCCUUCACUGUCCAUCCUUCUGUCACCCUUUUAAUUAUAACUAUUUAACAAGUCUCUACAAUGGUCAAAACUUCCCUUCAUCUUCCUGACUUCUUCCAAGGCCUCCAAACUUUCCAACCUCUGGCUGUUACCCUCUUGUGAUCCUGCUUUUACAUUUUCAUCCAUCCUUAUUGCAGCCUAUCAAUGCAGUAAAAAGAAGAAAUGCCCAUUUUCAGGGGAAAAAUUCACAAAGGGAUCCGAUAUCUGCAUGAAGAGAAGCUGAGUGCUGAUUGCCAAGGCAAUAAGAAAAAGGCCUUGAAGGCAUUUCAUAGCUUCACUUCACAGCAUUGAUUUUCUGCAUGUACAUAAAGAAAAGAGGUUGAAUUGACUCACAGUUCUGGAGGCUGUAAGGAAAGCAUAGUGGUUUCUGCUUUCAGGAGGACUCAGGAAGCCUCCCAUUUAUACCAGAAGGCCAAGCAGCAAUGAAAUGUUUCAUAUUCCAGGAGUAGAAGCAAGACAGAGGAAAGAUGCCACAUCCUGUCAUACAACCAGAUCUCAAGAGAACUCAGUAUCAGGAGAUCAGCAUCAAGAAGAUGGUGCUUAACUAUUGGUGAAGGAUCCACCCAAUACCCCACAUCCACCCCCCAGUGUUUCCAAGCAGAAGUCUGAGGCAGAGGCAGAGCCUCUUGGAAAACCUCUACUAGGGCAGUGCAGAAGGAAAAUAUGGGUUUGGAGCCCCCACGCGGGAUACCACCAUCCUCCAGACCCUAGAGUCAUAGACCCACCAAAAGCUCCCACCCUCAGUAUGGAAAAGCUACAGGCACUCAACACCAGCCCAGUCCAUGAGAGCAGCCAUGGGGGCUAAAGCCUGCAAAGCCACAGGUGCACUGCCCUAGUAGAGGUUUUCCAUGAGCCUCUGCCUCUGUAGCAGGCUACUCCCACUUCCUACUACCCACCACCCUCACACCACCCUACAGCCAACCUACUCCUCCAACGUUACCCACUUCUGUUUACUUCCAACUCCACCCCUCUCAAGUACAGGAAUAAAUCACCUCCCACCAGGCCACACCUGCAACAUUUGGAAUUACAAUUUCCCAUGUGUUUUGGUAGAGACACACAGCCAAACCAUAUUAUUCUGACCCUGAUCCCCCGAAUAUCAUAUCCUUCUCAGCGAGUAAAAUACAAUCUUGCCUUUUCAAAAGUUGCCAAAAGCCUUAACUCAUUCCAGCGUUAACACAAAUGUAAAAGGUUCAACAUCUCAUCUGAGAAAAGUCUACAGUCCCUUUUGCCUAUGAGUCCCUGAAUUUCAAAGGGAGGUCUUUUUUUCAAGGUACGAUGAUGGUACAGGCAUUGGGUAAAUUUUCUCAAUCCAAAGGGAAGAUAUUUGUCAGGAAAGUAACACAAAUGGGAUCACAGGCCCAGUACAAGUCCAAAACCAAGCAGGACAGUAUCUAUUCAAUCUUACAGCUCCAGAAUCAUCACGAGAACUCACCAUCAUGAGGAAAGCAUUAAGGAGACGGUGUUUAACCAUUUGUGAGGGAUCCUCCCCAACACCCACCUUUCACCCCUCACCCCCACCAUAAUCCCCCCAUCCUCCCCAAUCCCCACCUUCCAACCCCCACUGUCCUCCAUGAUUAAAUCAUCUUCCACCUGGCCCCACUUUUAACGUUUCCAAUUACAAUUCCAAAUGAGUUUCUGUAGGGACACACAGCCAAAUCUUAUUCUGUCCCUGCCUCCCCCAAUCUCAUGUACUUCUCACUUUGCAAAAUACAAUGAUGCCUUACCUACAGUCCCACAAGGUCUUAACUCAUUCCAGCAUUUACUCAAAUGUCCAAAGCCCAAUGUCUCAUCUGAGAAAAGGCAGUCUCUUCUGCCCCUGAGCCUCUGAAAUACAAACAAGUUAACUACUUCCAAGGUACAAUGAUUGUCCAGGCAUUGAGUUCCCAGCCAAAAGGAAGAUUUUUGCCUGAGAGAACAAAACAUAAAUGGGACUUACAGGCUCCAUGAAAAGUCCAAAACCCAGCAGGCCAGUUAUUCAAACCCACAGCUCCAAAGUCAUCCUUUUUUAAUCCUUGUCCCACAUCCAGGGCACAAGGGCGUGAGGGCUGGGCUCCCAAGGCCUUGGGCAGCUCACCUGUGGCUUUGCAGUGUUCAGCCUGUGCAGCUGCCCUCAUGGGCUGUGCUGGUGUUGAGUGCCUGGGGUUUCUAACCCAUGGAGGGUGCAAAGCUCUUGGUGGGUCUAUGAAUCUGGGGUCUUCAUGAUGGUGGCCUCCAGUGUGGGGGCUCCAACCCCAUAUUUUCCUUCUGCACUGCCCUAGUAGAGGUUUCCCAUGAGGCUCUGCCUUUUUGGCAGCCUUCUGUCUGGACACCCAGGCACUUUCAUAUAUCUUCCAAAAUAUAUAUGGAGGAUCUCAAGCCUCUGAACUAGUGCUCUGUGCACCCAUUGGCUUAACACUGUGUGGAAGCCACCAAGGCUUAUAGCUUGCACCUUCUGAAGCGGUGUCCCAAGCUGUACCUGUGCGUCUUUGAGACAAGGCUGGAGCUGGAGCUGCAGGGAUGCAGGCAGCAGUAUCCUGAGGCUGCACACAGCAGCAGAGCCAUGGAGAUGGCCCAGGAAACCAUUCUUUUCUCCUAGGUCCCAGGGCCUGUGACAACAAGGGCUACUGCAAACAUCUCUGAAAUGCCUCCAAGGCUUUCUCCCCCAUUGCGUUGGCUAUUAGCACUGGCCUUCAUUUUAUGCAAAUUUUUAAAGCCAUCAUGAAUUUUCCCUCUGAAAAUCAGCUUUUGUUUUGACCACUUGGCCAGGCUGCAAAUGUUCCAAACUUUUGAGCUCUGCUUGUCAUUUAAAUAUAAGUUGCAACUUGAGGUCAUUUCCUCGGUCACACAUAAAGGCACAGGCUGUUUGACACAGGGAGGACACGUCUUGAGAUUUGCUGCCUAGAUGUUCAUUCCACCAGAUACACCCUGAAUCAUCAACCUCAAGUUUAAAGUUUCACAGAUCUCCAGGGCAAGGUCACCCUGCAGCCAUGUUCUUUGUUACAGCAAAACAAAAGUAACCUUGGCUCCUGUUCCCAGUAAGUUCCUCAUUUUCAUCUGAGACCUCAUAAGCCUGGCCUUCACUGUCCCUCCUUCUGUCAGCAUUUUAAUCACAAGUAUUUAACAAGUCUCUACAAUGGUCCAAACUUUCCUUCAUCUUCCUGUCUUCUUCCAAGUCCUCCAAACUCUCCGACCUCUGGCUGUUAGCCACUUCUGAACCUGCUUUUAUAUUUUCAGCUAUCUUUGUCACAGCCUGGCAAUGUAGAAGGAAAAAAAGUCCAUUUUCAGGGGCAAACUUCAAGAAGGCUUCAGAUAUUUGCACUAAAAGGAAGACCAGUAUUAAUAGCCAAUGUGAUGGGGAAAAGUCAUUGAAGACAUUUCAUAGCUUCAAUUCGCAGUACUAAUUUUCUGUAAGAUCAUAACAAAAAGGGGUUUAAUUGGCUUAUAGUUCUGCAGUAGGCUGUAAAGAAAGCAUAGUAACUUCUGCUUCUGGGAGGACUCAGGAAGCCUCUCAAUUAUACCAGAAGGACAAGCAGCAAUAAAAUGUUGCAUAUGGCCAGAGUAGGAGCAAGACAGAGAGAGGAAAGAGGUGUCACAGCCUGUUAUACAACCAGAUCUCAUGAGAACUCAGUAUCACAAGGUCAGCAUCAAGAAGAUGGUGCUUAACCAUUGGUGAAAGAUCCACCCCCCAACACACUUCCACCCCUCACUGUUGCCAGGCAGAAGCCUGCUGCAGAGGCAGAGCCUCUUGGAAAACCUCUACUAGGGCAGUGCAGAAGGAAAAUAUGGGCUUGGAGCCCCUAUGCAGGAGGCCACCAUCCUCCAGACCCCAGAUUCAUAGACCCAACAACAGCUCAUACUCUCAGUAUGGAAAAGGUACAGGCAUUAAACAACAGCCCAGCCCAUGAGAGCAGCCACGGGGCUAAAGCCUGCAAAGCCACAGGGGCACUGUCCUAGUAGAGGUUUUCCAUGAGCCUCUGCCUCUGCAGCAGGCUACUCCCCCUUCCUACUACCCACCAUCCUAUGGCCAGCCUACUCGUCCCCACCCUCCCCACCCCUUUUUCCUUACACCCCCACCCUCCUUCCAUCCAGGAUUAAAUCACCUCCCACCAGGCUUCACCUCCAAAAUUCAGGAUUACACUUCCACAUGAGUUUUUCUAGGGAAACACAGCCAAACCAUAGUAUUCCGAACUUGACCCUUCCAAAUCUCAUGUCCUUCUCACAGGGUAAAAUACAAUCAUGCCUUUUCAAAAGUUUCCAAAAUCCUUAACUCAUUCCAGCAUUAACUCAAAUAUAAAAAGUUCAAAGUCUCAUCCGAGACAAGGCUACAGUCUCUUACGCCUAUGAGUCUCUGAAGUUAAAAUGGAGUUCAUUUCUUUAAAGGUACAAUGAUGACACAGGUAUUGGGUAAGCUGUCUUAAUCCAAGGGGAAGAAAUUUCCCAGAAAAAUAACACAAAUGGGACCAGAGGCCCAAUGCACAUCCAAAACCCAGCAGAACAGUAUUCAUUCAAUCUCACCGCCACAAAAUCAUGAAGAGAACUAUCACAAGGACAGUAUUAAGGAGACAGUGUUUAACCAUUUGUGAAGGAUCUGCCCCCCACCCGCCUUUCACCCCCAACCCCACCAUAAUUUUCCCCAAUUCGCCCCACCACCCCCACCUUCCAACCUCCACUCUCCACCAUGAUUAAAUCACCUUCCACCUGCACCCCACCUUUAACAUUUCCCAUUACAGUUCCACAUCAGUGGGACACAGAGCCAGAUUGUAUUAUUCUGUGCCUGCCCCUGCAAAUUUGUCUUUCUCACAUUGCAAAAUACAAUGAUGCCUCUCCUACAGUCCCCCAAAUCUUAACUCAUUCCAGCAUUUACUCAAAUGUGUAAAGCCCAAAGUUUCAUCUGAGACAAGGAUACAGUCCCUUCCGCCCAUGAGUCUCUGAAUUAUAAAGCAAGUUAACUACUUCCAAGGUACA